rnacentral:rRNA from 1 species
GAUGAACGCUGGCGGCGUGCCUAAUACAUGCAAGUCGAACGGAAGGGCCAUGCUCUUGCGGGGUGCUUGUGUGGCGAACGGGUGAGUAAAACGCGUGUAACACGCCCCUGUAUUUGGGAUAACUCUUGGAAAAAGGGGCUAUUAUAGGAUAGGAGCUUCUGCUGCACGGUGGGGGUUGGAAAGUUUCGGUUGUUGGGGCACGUAUCGAGGCUUACCCGCUUGUUAGUGGGGUAGUGGCUUAACAAGCUUUCGAAGGGUAGCCGGCCUGGGAGCGUUGCCGGCCACAUUGGGACUGAGAUACGGCCCAGACUCCUACGGGAGGCAGCAGUGGAGAGUAUUGCGCAAUGGGCGGAAGCCUGAUACAGCAACCCCCCGAGCGUGAUAACGGCCUUCGGGUUGUAAACCGCUGUCGCCUGUGACGAAGCGUGAGUGACGGUAAUGGGUAAAGAAGCACCGGCUAACUACGUG